AUUGAACGCUGGCGGCAUGCUUUACACAUGCAAGUCGAACGGUAACAGGGUGCUUGCACCGCUGACGAGUGGCGAACGGGUGAGUAAUGCGUCAGAACGUGCCGAGUAGUGGGGGGAUAACGCAGCGAAAGUUGUGCUAAUACCGCAUACGUACUGAGGUAGAAAGUGGGGGACCUUCGGGCCUCACGCUAUUCGAGCGGCCGACGUCUGAUUAGCUAGUAGGUGAGGUAAAGGCUCACCUAGGCGACGAUCAGUAGCGGGUCUGAGAGGAUGAUCCGCCACACUGGGACUGAGACACGGCCCAGACUCCUACGGGAGGCAGCAGUGGGGAAUUUUGGACAAUGGGCGAAAGCCUGAUCCAGCCAUGCCGCGUGUCUGAAGAAGGCCUUCGGGUUGUAAAGGACUUUUGUCAGGGAGGAAAUCCCUAGUGCUAAUAACACUGGGGGAUGACAGUACCUGAAGAAUAAGCACCGGCUAACUACGUGCCAGCAGCCGCCGUAA
rnacentral:rRNA from 1 species